rnacentral:tRNA from 3 species
GAACUAUUUUUUUAUGUUUUGAAAACAUAAGUUGGAUAUUUUUCCGUAGUUUU